UCCUUAGAAAACAAAUGCCCAGGGCCAGUAGCACCAAGGAUAUAACUACGGGAAUAAUAAUGGCAGCAACUAUCUGUACUGAGAUCUGUCUUUUUCCUUUACCUUUUGUUGUUGAAGGUGAGGGUACUGGAACAGUGGUAUUGACUCGGUAGAACGGAAACAGUUCGUACCUAAUAACACAGCUUGGAAGCAGAACCUUUCCACCUCG
rnacentral:misc_RNA from 1 species